AACCUCCGCAAUGUGAGAAAUCGCGACGGGGGGAUCCCAAGUGCCAUUCUUAACGGGAUGGCUUUUCUUAAGUGUAAAAAGCUUUUGGAAUAAGAGCUGGGCAAGACCGGUGCCAGCCGCCGCGGUAACACCGGCAGCUCUAGUGGUAGCUGUUUUUAUUGGGCCUAAAGCGUUCGUAGCCGGUUUGAUAAGUCACUGGUGAAAUCCUGUAGCUUAACUGUGGGAAUUGCUGGUGAUACUGUUGAACUUGAGGUCGGGAGAGGUUAGCGGUACUCCCAGGGUAGAGGUGAAAUUCUGUAAUCCUGGGAGGACCACCUGUGGCGAAGGCGGCUAACUGGAACGAACCUGACGGUGAGGGACGAAAGCUAGGGGCGCGAACCGGAUUAGAUACCCGGGUAGUCCUAGCCGUAAACGAUGCGGACUUGGUGUUGGGAUGGCUUUGAGCCGCUCCGGUGCCGAAGGGAAGCUGUUAAGUCCGCCGCCUGGGAAGUACGGUCGCAAGACUGAAACUUAAAGGAAUU
rnacentral:rRNA from 1 species